GUUAUGAACCGCUGUAAAUAACCGUAAGCCCAAACACUACCUUACCUUGCUCAUAUAAGUCUUGUUGAUAAGUGUUGUUGACUGUUGAUUUGUGGAAAAUUCUAGUUUUGGGGUUGGGACACCGGUAAGAACUAUAUAAGUGCGGAUGAAAAAAAAAUAUAGUUGUGAAACUUCAAUAAAAAAAAUAGAAUGAAAAAAAA
rnacentral:lncRNA from 1 species